rnacentral:rRNA from 1 species
AUUGAACGCUGGCGGCAGGCCUAACACAUGCAAGUCGAACGAGUGGCGGACGGGUGAGUAAUGUCUGGGAAACUGCCUGAUGGAGGGGGAUAACUACUGGAAACGGUAGCUAAUACCGCAUACCAUCAGAUGUGCCCAGAUGGGAUUAGCCUGUAGGUGGGGUAACGGUUCACCAAGGCGACGAGCCCUAGCUGGUCGGAGAGGUUGAUCAGGCACACUGGAACUGAGACACGGUCAAGAUGCCUACGAGAGGCAGCCGUGGGGAAUAAUGGAGAAUGGACGAGAGUCUGAUCCAGCCAUGCCGCGUGUGUGAUGAAGGACUUCGGAUUGUAAGGCACUUUAAGGUGGAAGGCGUUACCAACAGAAGAAGCAGCGGCUAAGUUCGUGCCAGCAGCCGCGGUAAUAC